UAGCCCUACCUUAUUGUGUCUUGUUGUUGGCAGCUGGGAGUGGAAGUUCAGCUUUUCCUUGGUCCUUGCUGAUAUGGAUAUUGGGGGAGGCAGAGUAUCAUUGAAUAGAGUGUCAUGUCAUAUUGCCUCAUUCUGCCCUGUUGCUGCAUGGUGGAAGCAGAAGACAGAAAAUCAAGAUUCCCCUUGGUCCCGCUGAUACGGGGAAGGAGUUUCACCCCAUAGCCACAACAGCUAGUAAUGUUCUGAGUUUCACCUGAAGCCAGCAAGUCUCAGAGGCUCACCCAAGACCCUGGAUGUAGGACCUGGGUAUCGGUUCUGAUUAAGACCGAAGAGUUCUUCAGUUAGCAGAUACAGCAUGCUUGGAAAUGUGGAAAAUGAUCUGGAAGGGGAGAAAAGAGGGCAGAGAGACCUUUUCAGAAGUUGGUGUGAUGUUCCAUGCAAGUAAUGGUGAGGACUUGAAUUGGGGUAGAAGCACGACCACAAAAUAGCCUGCUAACAACUGUGUAAACACUGAACCACAACAGCACUGGACCAUGUGGUUGAUUCCCCAAGAGGUAUUUUCAGAUGGGUUGACUUUAUUGUGUCUCUUUUUAUAUACUACAAUGUCACUUUUACACAUUUCAAAAAUCAUGUCAGUGGUGUGGCACACAUUGGAAGGUCUGGUCUCAGAAGUGUAAAAAGCAUGGAGCACUUCAGCUUGCAACCAGCUGUCAUCCUGGAUUCUCCUCAGAGGAAGCCAAAAGUACUACACUUCAAACAAGCUUUUUGAAAAAAGGCCAAUGUAUGCAUUGUGCUUGGUAUGGCUACGGGAGAGUAGUGAGUUAGACUUCGAAAACUACUGCAAGUAGUGUCUAUGCUAAUAGAUACCUAGACCCCUUUGUCACCAGCAUUUAGGGUUGAUCGUGAUCUAUUUCAAUGCUAUGAUGUAAUAAUACAUUUUGAAAAUUAUUCUUAAGAUUUAAACAUUUUUCUGAUCAUUAAAGAUGUAUUUGUGUUGUGGAAAAUGUAUAACAAAUGCUAAUCAUACAUAACAAUAUUUACUGAAUGCUAACACCAUGUGAAAGACACUGUGCUAUGCACAUUGCAUACAUUAUUUAAUGUAUCCUCAUAGUAGUCCCGUGAGAUAGAUACUUUUACAUUCUCCAUUUUUAGGUAAGAAAACAGACUCAAAGUGACUUGCUCAAGUUUACAUAGCUAGUACAUGGUAGAGCUAGAAUUUGUGGCCCAUUCUGUCCAGCUCUAAAGUUUGCAUCUGUUUUUAACUUUUUUCUUAAUUAAAAAGAGAUAAAUAUGCACAUAGAGAAAAACCUACUUUUUAUUUCACCAUCCAGAGGCAAACACUACUAAUAUUCUGGCACAUUUUCUUCCUGCCUUUCUUGGAUAUUUUUUAAAAUUUUAUAUUUGAGAGAUAACAGACUUUAAAGGAAAUGUGAAACUCUUCCCUCACCAUUCGGUGAAUGGAAUGAUAUAAGGAGGUAAGUGGAAUUACUCUAGUAGGUAAAUAAAUAAUAAAUGAAUAAAUAAAUAAGAGGCUUGGUGCAGUGGCUCCUCCCUUUAAUCUCAGCACUUUGAGAGGCCAAGGUGGGUUGAUUUCUUGAGCUCAGGAGUUGGAAACCAGCCUGGGAAACAUGAAAAAACUCCUGCUCUACAAAAAAAUAAACUAUCCGUGUGUGGUGGCACAUGCCUGUGGUCCCAGCUACUCCAGAGGCUGAGGUGGGAGGAUCGCAUAAGCCCAGGAGGUCGAGGCUGCAGUGAGCCAUGAUGAUGCCUCUGCACUCCAGCCUGUGUGACAGAAUAAGGCCCUGUCUCUCUCUCUCUCUCUCUCUCUCUAUAUAUAUAUAUAUAUAUAUAUAUGAAAAUAGAAGUAAAAUGUCUCAAAUUGCAUCAUUCACACACAACCACUAUUAGUAUUUGGGCUCACCUACUACCUUUAUAACAACAUGCACUUGUUAACAUAUUUACAAUCAGGGUCUUACUUAUCUUAUAAGCAUCUCCUUAAACCAUAAAUUUUGUUUUAAAUUACAUCGUAAUAUUCUAUUAUGUAUGUAUACUAUUGUUUGACAUUUUUUUUUUGUUUGUUUUUUGAAACAGGGUCUCACUCUGUCACCUAGGUAGAAGUGCAGUGGUGUCAUCAUGGCUCACUGCAGCCUUGAUCUCCUGGGAUCAAGCAAUUCUCCCACUUCAGCCUCCCAUGUAGCUGGGACUACAGGCACAUGCCACCACACCCAUAUAAUUAUUAUUAUUAUUUUUUGUAUACACAGGGUCCCACUGAGUUGCCCAAGGCUAGUCUCAAACUUGUGCACUCAAGGGAUCCUCCUGCCUCAGCCUCCCAAAGAGCUGGGAUUACAAGCAUAAUCCACUGUACCCAGCCUGUAAUCCACUGUAUUUCUUUUUUUCAGCAUCCUAAAUAAUACUGUAGUGGAUAUCUUUUUGCAGUAACUUAUUAAAUCUAUAGAACUUUGCACAUAUUAAUAAUUAAUGAGACAUUAAUUGCUAUGAAAGUCUCAUGCAAUUAAAGAUGACAAAACACAGAAAGAUAUUUAGUGUUACAGUUCCAAUAGUUAAUCUUGUGUGUUUGAGAUGACUGUGUUAAGGGGGUCAUAACUGCAAAAUGUCUUCAAUAUGUUGUAACUGAUAUCUCAAUUGCUACUGAUAAGAACUUAUUUCUAAAACGUAGAAAUUUAAAGAAACUAUCUUUCGGCAAUCUGCCAAAAACUUUUUAAUAUGUUCAGAACAAAUUAAAUGGAAGAAUAUUUGCAAGGAUCCAAAACACUCCCAUUAUUCAUAAAAUGAUGGAAAUAUGAUAAACACAUUUUAGAAAUAUAAAAUUAAUCCCUGUGGCAGAGCUUAAUUAGUGGACAACUAUUCAGUAAAAUCUCAGUUAUUCUCUUCUUUCUGAGCACUUCUCUAGGCUAUAUUCACAAGCUUUCCUUGCAGUUUAAUGUGGCCAAAAGAUUGAGCUCUAACAGAAUUAAAGUGAAAGUGAUUUCUGCCCUGUCUAGGGAUUACCCCAGAUAUCUUUCACACAUGACCUUCUACAAUCUGUGUCUUUCCACUGUCUUGAUAAGGAUGAUCACAAUAACCUGGGAAGCUAUUUGUUGAAGAUAGAAGAGCCAGAUAUGGAGGAGUUUAUUUCUCUAAAUUGUCACUUAGAGGAGAUCUUUAUAACAACAUUAAUUUUGAAUGUUUUGCAAAUAAGAAAUAAACUUCUAUAUGUUUGAGACAUAUCACAUUUGGGGGUUUAUUCAUUACAGUUGCUAUUUGUUAUAGUUUUGCCUUAAAUAAUGC
rnacentral:lncRNA from 10 species